CGUGCUAAUACAUGCAAGUCGAACGCUUUUUCUUUCACCGGAGCUUGCUCCACCGAAAGAAAAAGAGUGGCGAACGGGUGAGUAACACGUGGGUAACCUGCCCAUCAGAAGGGGAUAACACUUGGAAACAGGUGCUAAUACCGUAUAACACUAUUUUCCGCAUGGAAGAAAGUUGAAAGGCGCUUUUGCGUCACUGAUGGAUGGACCCGCGGUGCAUUAGCUAGUUGGUGAGGUAACGGCUCACCAAGGCAACGAUGCAUAGCCGACCUGAGAGGGUGAUCGGCCACACUGGGACUGAGACACGGCCCAGACUCCUACGGGAGGCAGCAGUAGGGAAUCUUCGGCAAUGGACGAAAGUCUGACCGAGCAACGCCGCGUGAGUGAAGAAGGUUUUCGGAUCGUAAAACUCUGUUGUUAGAGAAGAACAAGGAUGAGAGUAGAACGUUCAUCCCUUGACGGUAUCUAACCAGAAAGCCACGGCUAACUACGUGCCAGCAGCCGCGGUAAUACGUAGGUGGCAAGCGUUGUCCGGAUUUAUUGGGCGUAAAGCGAGCGCAGGCGGUUUCUUAAGUCUGAUGUGAAAGCCCCCGGCUCAACCGGGGAGGGUCAUUGGAAACUGGGAGACUUGAGUGCAGAAGAGGAGAGUGGAAUUCCAUGUGUAGCGGUGAAAUGCGUAGAUAUAUGGAGGAACACCAGUGGCGAAGGCGGCUCUCUGGUCUGUAACUGACGCUGAGGCUCGAAAGCGUGG
rnacentral:rRNA from 1 species